CUGUGCCACUCCCGGAAAGGGACUCUAGGUCUACAACACCCAAUCUACAGUCUACAACUCGUCUUCAAGUUACUUGCUUUCCAGGCAGCAGAAGGCGUUUCCAAAAGUUUCCCUAAACCUCCCUUACCCCUAAGCCUAAAGGUCACAGCGCCAGGUCCUCCUCAACUCUCCAACCGGCUGGAAUGUGAUCAUUUCAGAAGUUUCUGGUGUAGGGGGAGAACAGAAAGGGUGGUAGUGGGGAACCGCGCAGUGUGACCACCGCGCAUUAUGUAACGGAAGCCCUGGCUGCAGGAGUGAGCAAGCCUGACAUUGAAACAUUCCAGGGGGAGGGGAGUUGCUGUCCGGGAGUCGCCAGGAACAGCAGAGGCAGUUGUAAGACACUGAGAGAGGAAGGUGGCCGAGAUAAAGAAACCAUUUUGGGUAUUGGAAUAUUAAAAAACCGCAGGUCUCAGAGUAUUAGCAAACGGCAAGACACGUGUAGUAAUUUGACAAAACGGGAGCCUUCCAACUUUUGCACGGGAACGAGUAGAUUUGCCCUUUGGGGGAUUAAAAUUAGCCAAGCCAAAAGCUAAUGGAUGAGGUUCAGUAGUUUGUUCGCAGUAUUUAAAUAGUUAUGCUCAGGAGCGCAAACUCUCCGCAGUUAUUUAGAAAAGCGGCGACUUAAUCCAAACUACAAUACUCUACCGAGUGCAUCUCGACUUUCCCCAAUCCGAAAAGGAGUUGCUCGCGCGGUACUGCCCCUUUAAGACCUGCUCGCUCUCCGGCUCUACAAAAGGGAGUGACCUCUGGGCUUUGACAGCUCCCCUAAUAACUACCACCGCGCAGGCCCCGCCCACCUGGUGGCCAGCCGCGCCGAUUGGCCGGCGGGCCGGUAUCCCGUGCUCUGAUUGGCCUGCCGCUUCCCCUGAGCGAACCUUUAGAACUCUGAGACAGACAAUAUUCUGUUACAUUGUAGCAAAAUGGCGACUGUCAUUCACAACCCCCUGAAAGCGCUUGGGGAUCAGUUCUACAAAGAAGCCAUUGAGCACUGCCGGAGUUACAACUCCCGGCUGUGUGCAGAGCGCAGUGUGCGCCUCCCCUUCUUGGACUCACAGACAGGGGUGGCCCAGAACAACUGCUACAUCUGGAUGGAGAAGAGGCACCGAGGCCCAGGCCUUGCCCCGGGCCAGCUGUACACAUACCCUGCCCGCUGCUGGCGCAAGAAGAGACGAUUGCAUCCGCCUGAGGAUCCAAAGCUGCGACUGCUAGAAAUAAAACCUGAAGUGGAGCUGCCCCUGAAGAAGGAUGGGUUCACCUCGGAAAGCACCACCCUGGAAGCCUUGCUCCGUGGUGAGGGGGUAGAGAAGAAGGUGGAUACCAGAGAGGAGGAAAGCAUCCAGGGAAUACAGAGGGUUUUGGAAAAUGAUGAAAAUGUAGAAGAGGGGAACGAAGAAGAGGAUUUAGAAGAGGAUAUUCCCAAGCGAAAGAAUAGGACCAGAGGACGGGCUCGUGGCUCUGCGGGUGGCAGGAGGAGGCAUGACGCUGCCUCUCAGGAAGACCAAGACAAACCUUACGUCUGUGACAUCUGCGGCAAGCGCUACAAGAACCGGCCAGGACUCAGCUACCACUAUGCUCACACUCACCUGGCCAGUGAGGAAGGGGACGAAGCCCAAGAUCAGGAGACCCGGUCCCCACCUAACCACAGAAACGAGAACCACAGACGGACAGGAGGAAUAUCUCCUAAACAAGAGCAUCUUUCCCAAGGGCAAGGCCCAGCCCAGAAAGGACCGGAUGGGACAGUCAUUCCCAAUAACUACUGUGACUUCUGCUUGGGGGGCUCUAACAUGAACAAGAAGAGUGGGAGGCCUGAAGAGCUGGUGUCCUGUGCAGACUGUGGACGCUCUGCUCAAUUGGGAGGAGAAGGCAGGAAGGAGAAGGAGGCAGCGGCCGCAGCACGCACCACGGAGGACUUAUUCGGUUCCACGUCAGAAAGUGACACCUCAACUUUCCACGGCUUUGAUGAGGACGAUUUGGAAGAGCCUCGCUCCUGCCGAGGACGCCGCAGUGGCAGGGGUUCGCCCACAGCAGAUAAAAAGGGCAGUUGCUAAACCCAUGGAACAGACUCUGGGCAAUUCGCCACCAUCCUCUGACUUUGGUCAUUGUUCUGGUUCUGAUAUAUUUUUUUUUUUAAUGAAAGAAAACUUUAGGUUUUUCCUUUAUCCUUGCUUUUUCCUCUCAUCUUCCUUGCGUCCCUUCCUCCCUUCCCCUGUCUUUUGGGUGUGUACAACAGAAGCACAAACUACUGAAACAAAACGAAACAAAGAGCAGGAUGAGAGGCGUCAAAGAGAGAUGGAGUCAUGAUGUACUAUUUAUUUUCCAUAGAAAUGGGAAGUUAGAUUAUCUCUUUUUGUGGGUGGGGGAGGGGAUCUUUUGGACAUGAGCAGAGUUGAUUUCCUCAGUUUACCUAUUUAUUGGCAAGAUGAAGAGAGGAGGGACAUUGGGUUUGGAAAAAAAGACCCAGUAACAUUAAAAAAUAUAUUAUUUAUAUAUUCUAGGUAUUAUUAGAAACAGACUUUUCUCCUUCUUUUUUUUGAGAGAAGGGAAAUCAAAGAAAUCGAAGUAAUAUCCUGUUUAGAAGAAAGCCACUGGGGGGAGGAUUGUCUCAAGGAAACCUAGUCAGGGUGAUUUCCUCAAUGGGAGAUGAUUGCACGUUCUGUACCCCAUGGAGUUUGUGGCUCCCCACAGCAGACCCCCUCCCUGUUUCUCCUCUCUGCUUGCGAGAAUGUCAGCAGCUCCGGAGAAGUCCGGGGCCGCCAGCGCCCAGGCCCCUGACCAGCAGCCGCCUCCUCAGCUCCUCUUCCGUCAGCACAGCGGCUGUUUUGUUGUUGCUGUUUUUUUCCUCUUUUUCCUCAUGGUGAAGAGCAAUUUCCAAAUGCAAGAAUGGAAUAUAAGCAGAACGUCAUGGACUCAGCAGUGACAAAAUGCCCCAAGGCCACCCUCACGGAAGAAAGAAUGAUACCUCACAGUAUAUUUCCCCUCCCCUCACCCUGUUUAAAACCAUAUAUAAAUACCUUUUGGAUUAUCAAGUCUCCCGUAUUUCUUCUUCUAUUUUUAUAGUGCCUGCCAGGCACUUUGUUUUAUGUCUCCAAUAGCACCUCCUGAAAUAAACCAAAGCAACAGUUGCUUAAGGCCCCUGGGGCAAUGGAGAAGACCAUCCACCUCUUUGGCAGCCUCAAGAACCAGCAGCUGCGUGGUCCUAUUCAAAAGUCAUAUCUAUGACCUGGGGACUCCAGUGACCUUCAAGCAAGCUGUUUCCGAAGAAGGUGAAAAGAAGUCAAGAGGAUUUGCACCACCUUCUCCUCCUCCUCCUUCACCUCCUCCUCCUCCUCCUCUUCCCUUGCCCGGCCCCCUCCUGUGCAUCUGUUUCAGCCAACACAGGAGCCUGCAUUGUGGAAAACCCUCCAGCACAACUCAGCUCGUCUCAGAGAAGUCUCGGGAAUGGCCUAAGUUUGUGCAAUAAGAAGAUGUAUUUUUUUCCUUUUUUGAAAUUCUUCAUUGCAUUUUCUUUAAGUGUCUGUGAGAAAGUACCCAGGUCAGACUGUAAUUACUCUACAAUUGAAAUAACUGAACAUCAACAAACUGACAAAAAAAAAAAAGUUAUUUUAUUUAUUUCGAUAUUUAAAAGAGAAAAAGUGCUGACCUUGCACAGUAUUUUUGUUUAAAGUACCUUUUACUUCAAAAGUUAAAAGCAGUUUUGUGAAGACACGAAAUUUGAAAAGUCCUUAAUGUCAAAUAAAGGCUGAAUAUUAACUCUAAAGAAGAAUUAUCCCCACAUUUUUAAUAAGAAAAUAAAGAUCAACUCUGCUCUCUCAGGCUUUUUAAAAAGCCAUUCAUGUAUGUGCUUUAGGUAUUUUUUAUUUCUGUGAGUUGGAUGUGGUGAGGAAUGAUCAGGCUUUUUUUUUUUUUUUUCCUUCUUCGAAAGUCUGUUGGAAGUGUUGGCGACAUUAAACGAUUCUGUGUUACGGCUUGACUGAAAUAAAUUAGCCCCAAAGGCUAUCCCGCAGUCUCCCUCCCCCAGCACUCGCCUCCUGCCUCAGGCAAGCCCCACUGAGAAGCAGCCUGCCUCCUGGCUAUCAUGUCUGAUGAGGCCUAGUUCAGAAAGGAAUUCCAUCUAGUGACUGAACAUAUCUCCGCAAGUUUAAUGGAUUUGAGCUUAGACUGGUUUGUUUAAACUCAUGCAGUGAAGAAAAAAGACCUAAAAAGCAAAAAAAUGGUAUCUGAGGUGAUGUUAUCUCAGGAGCCUAACAACUCCUUCUAGAGGAGACUUGCAAAGGGAAGCUUUUUGUUACCUGGUUUGGGGUGCUUGAGAUUCCAGUACUUUCUCCAAGGGCUAGGAAGGUAGAUCUGAGUGAUGGAAACCUCAAAUAUGAUUUCUAGUGGGGUUAAAAGCAGAAAGGCAAGUGUUCUAACAUGUCCUUUUAUGGUCAGGUUGGUGGAAGAAAGAGUUACAGCCUGAGAAAUGUAAUUCAACAUUGUGUCUGCGGCCUAGUGAAGGAGCUGGGCUGGCCGGCUGGCCACUGGGUUCCACUCCUGGACUCCACAGAGGGCUGGUCUUUUACAAGUCCAUGCUCUUGAGUUUCCCUUACUUGUAAGCAGAGUGCUCAUAAUAAAUGUAUAAUCUAAUGCUAGAUAUUCUGUCAGGAAAGGUCCUUGAAUCACAGUGUUACUGAAAUGGUUCUGAGCAUGAGAAUCUCUAUUUUGACUUUGGAAGGAGCAGUUGCGUGGGGACAGCCUGCCUGCUGACUCUUCCAGGUUUCGCAUUCAAGGCCAGUCCUGGGGAAGAGAUCGCCAAGACUGUCUUUGUAUCAUUCUGUAGCCGUUUUCUGUGACGUUUUCUAAUGGAAAAUGUCCGUUGUCGAAAUGCUCAUAAUUAAUAAUUCGUUCUCCAACCAGCUCCCACAAAUUACAACAUGUGUAGAAUUGUGAUAAAGCUUUGCACAAUGUAGGGUUUGUAUCAAGUUUAUGUAAGUUUCUGUUAAAUAAAAGUCUGUUUCCAAUGCUCCUAUAGCAUCUUAUUAACUUUCGCUUUACCCACCUUAUCCUACAUGAGUUAGCUUUUCACACCACCAGGUGGAGGGAACGCCUGAGAGGAUUCUGCCUACUUGCAUGCCUAAGAUUUGUUGAACCCUAUUGUUUUAUUUGGAAGAACAGUCUAGAAUAGCAGUUGCCACUGGCUUGGCUGACUGGGGGUGGUGUGGAAAGUGAACAAUGCCCAUGAUUGGUGCCAGCAUCCAUAUUCUGAGCCCAGAGUUGCUGUCAACCACCCACCAUCACCACUGCCAUCACCAUCUUCUCCAUGCCCAACACGGGUUUAUUGAAAGCCUGGUUAUGUGUACUUAAUAUGCCUGUUCACUGUUGCCAUCAUAUCAGUGCUAAGAGCAAGUUUUGCACAAAAAAGCAAAAUUUAGUGUGUACUUGGAAAAAGAAGAAAUGUUAACGUUUCCAUUGCCUGAAAUCUACUUUUGGUAUAGCCUCCUCAAGCCACCAGUAGGUACGGCUGUGAGUUGGACCCCCUCGAUAGGCUUUUCCUUGUGCGUGAAGGUGGACACUUUUCUCUCGUGGAUCCUCAGGGUCAAAAUUUACAGGUCAGAUCUUGACCUCUGAGCAUUGUCAGCCCACGGCGUGGCGGGGGCGGGGGGAGCGGGGACAGGCAGGUGAAAGUGAAAAGUGGCAGAGUGCAGCUGGGACAUUGUAAUCCUGCUGCUAGUGUGUUCUAUCUUCUUUCAGAACGAACAUAAUGACAUUCAUAAGGGACUUGAUGAGCUUCCCUAGCAGUGGAAAAGGAAUUUUAUAUAUUCAUUAUACACCACCCACCUCCUACAGCGACUCAAUUUUGAGACACUAGACCCAAUUCAGAGAUCCCCUAGGGAAUUAAUUAUCAUCUUAGGAGGAAAGUGAUUGUACCUGACGUCCUCCUUCUAAUUUAGACCUUAGGAAAGGGUACCUUGAUUCUGAUGGGCGAACACUCUUUACCUAAAGUGUGUCAUACUUCAUGACUAAGGCUUUCUUGGUAGAUAUUGUCUUUGGGCUGCUUACAGGGACAAGACAUCUGGCAUGGAGCUGUAGUAUCAAUGUAAAUAACUAAGGAUAAAGAAGACCCAGGAGAAUCAAAUGUCCAUAAUGGUGGGCUAUAAGAGAAGGGGCUGCCUUUUUCAAAUGUCUGAUAGUGAGUUGUUGGCAAAGCGUGCAUGUGCCUUGUAUCCAUACAGGGGUGGAUUACCCAAUAAAGCAAGAUAAUCAUGGGCUUACUUGUGCUUACUUCCUAAUCUGUAGUGAACAAUUUCACAUGUUUUUCACCACAUCACCCAUGCUUACCUUGCUUACUGGAUAAUUCAUCCAUGUUAGAGAUUGUAAAUUUGAAAAGAGGCUUUGAUUCUGUGGGAAGGUGCUGUGGGGUUGGGAGAGAGACAGAAAGAAGCCAGCCAUACCUAGAAGCAGAGUCUUUGAUGGGGUGAAGAAAUGUGAAAUUGUUCCCUACAGAUGAUCUGGUAAGCAAGGUAAGCACCAUGUUUACCUCACCUAUUAGAUAAUCCACGCCUGUAUCUAUAGAUGGCCACCAGGGAUGAAUUAUCCAAAAAGCAAGGUAUACACAGGCUUAUUUAUUUUUACUUACUAAUCUGUAGUGCACAAUUUCACCUGUUUUUCACCACAGGCAAAAUUGUGCACUACAGUUUAGUAAACCUAGUGCAGCUUAGUAAGUAAGCAUAAAUAAGCCCAUGUGUACCUUACUUACUGGUGACUCUACCCCUGAUGGUCACUGACCCAAAGGGAAAGAAAAGUGUCCAUAUGAGCCAGAGAAUAAGAAAGAGGAAACAAAAAUAAAAAGAACCAAACCCUACUUUUCUUAUCCAUGUGGAAAUAGUUAACAUAAAGCAUUGAUUCUGGGGCUGACGAUGCCUACAGAGCAGGUAUCUUAAGAAAGUAAAGCAAGCCAGGUGUGAAAAAAAUAACAGUACCAGGAAGGUGGGGCCCAGCCCUUGCUGCUCAGCUUCGGGUCAGCAGGGAGGAAUGGGGAGGGGCAGGAAGUGUAUUGAAUGAGAGAGCUCUUGUGCUCAGAGUUGAGCAACCCCUAUUCAGUUUAAGGGAUGCUGCUGCCCAGAGUUCUCAGGUGUUCUGGGUUUUCAAAAGAGGCCAAAAAUUCAAAAAAAAAAAUGUGGUAGAAUCUCCCUAUUUUAAAAUGUUGGCAGUAAAUGAAAAGCAAACACUGAAGAUCAACCUUGUGUGGCCUAAGCCCAACCAUGAUUGUGCAUCAGACACCCUUUGAUGGCUUUAGGGCCGCUUUUCCCCCAAGGGCUGCCAGGCUGGGUAAGGCUGAAGUGAAGGUUGAAAUGGCUGGAUCGGACUCCGUCAUGACAGCAGGUCCUUGUCUUAACCUCUGGGUACAUCCAGUGUUAUGUGAUGGGAAUGGGUCCCUGGGUUGUUCUCUGGAUGGAGCUAGGCCCUUGUGAGUGAUUCAAGAUGCAGUCCUAGUAGAAAACAUUCCCCAUCUGUCCCUUUCCCUCUGCUUAUAGGUGAGAGCUCUUCCCUGGGUGGAGUUGUACGAUGUAGAGUUCAGAGUCGUUUUUUUUUUUUUUUAAUUUCACUUUAUUCUUAUCACUGACAAGCCAUCUACUAUAUCAUGUUCCUUUACCCUUCUUUCCUUUUCUACAAACCUCAAAUCACUCUAUUUGACUGGAGCUGAAUUUGAGUUUUUUUGGUGUUCCCAAAGCAAAUUCAGGACUUCCUUUGAUUAAUGAGUGCUAUGGAUUGAAUUGUGUACCUCCAAAAUAUGUAUCAAUUUGACUAGGCCAUGAUUCCCAGUAUUGUGUGAUUGUCCACCAUUUUGUCAUCUGAUGUGAUUUUCCUGUGUAUGGUAAAUCCUGUCUCUAUGGUGUUAAUGAGGCAGGAUUAGAGGUAGUUAUGUUAAUAAGUCAGGACUAAAUCUACAAGACUAGGUUGUAUCUUGAGUCCAUUUCUUUCGAGAUAUGAGUUAGCAGAGAGACAGUGGGACCUCAUACCAUCAAGAAAGUAGUGCCAGGAGCAGAGUGCAUGCUUUGGACCCAGGGUCCCUGGGCUGAGAAGCUCAUAGACCAGGAAACGAUUGAUGACAAGUCUUCCCCCACGGUCAACAGACAGAGGAAGCCUUCCCAUGAAGCUGGCACACUGAAUUCGGACUUCUAGCCUCCCAGAUUGUGAAAGAAUAAAUUUCUCUUUGUUAAAGCCAUCCACUUGUGGUAUUUCUGGUACAGCAGCACUAGAUAACUAAGACAAAGAGGUGUUUAUUUCUCCAGAAUUAUCUGAAUUUGUCUUUUAAGUAUUUUAUAUGUUAUAUGCAUCUUAUUUCAGAGGAUCCUUUGUAAGAGGGGAUGCAAGGACUUUUCCCUUGGGUCAGGGUUUGGUUUUGUGUGUGUGUGUGUGUGUGUGUGUGUUGUUACUGUGAAUACACGAGUAAUUUAUGAUUUAAAACAGGGACUUGCAAAGUUUUUACCUGUAAAGGACCAGAUAGUAAAUAUUUUAGGCUUUGUGGGCCAUAUGGUCACUGUCAUAACUCAGCUUUGUGGUUGUAGCACAAGAGUAGCCUUAACAAUAUAUAAACUAAUGGGCAUGGCUGUGUUCCAAUAAAACUUUAUUUACAAAAGCAAGUAGGUGGCUGGAUUUGGUCCACUGGCAUAGUUUGCUGAUUCCUGAUUUAGAAAUAGAGGAUAUUAUUCUGUUAAAUUGGGGAAAGGGUAAUGUUUAAGGCAUUUUCUAAGCAUUAGGAUGAAUGAAAGAGAAGAUUUCUUGUCACCAGGUGUAGGGCUGGAGGUGUAUUUCAUGAUCAUUAAUAUAAGCUAUAUGGGGCCUAAUGUGAAAAUGUUUCUGAUCCAAAAACAAAAAACAAAAUGAAACCAAACAAAUCCGACCAGAAUAUUCUAGAAAUCAAUGCUUACCCAAAGUGUCUGUGAAUAAUCCAGCCAUGACAGUGACUCUCUGAGGACAUGAUGACUAAUAUCAUUCAUCUCCAGCAAAUUAAGUAUGGAAAAGAGCCAACUAUAAAAUAGUUACAAAAUAUGAAUUCAUGCAGAUGUCUCCUAUGGGCUAAGUGAACAUAGGAGAGCCUCGUCUGUAUGAGAUAAAUGAUAAAGGACAACUUGGGAGGGGUGGCGUUGUUACAUCUUUCUGAUGACUACUGAUUCUUCAAUGGCUAUGGCUCCCUGAAAAUAUCAAUUCUGUGGUGUUGAAGGUGCUGCAAGAUGCAUUUCUUCCCCAGAUGUCAGAUUUGUGUGGUUAUAUUCAGUAUCACAGCACUUUCCCCACUUUUUAUCUCAUGUCCCAAAAGAGUCAUAGAAAAUAAUUUUCCUCCUCGAAUGGUAGAAAAGGUUCCUGAUACCAGAUCUACUUACUAAAUUGAAAACCUUCUUACUAAUUGAAUGUGAGAUGAACCUGAAGGAUGGUCUAUGAGCUAGUCAUGCCAAAUUUAUUGAAGAGAUGCUCUUUAGCCAUUGUUAGGGGGUAUUUGUUAAAUGAUUUGAGAAGAUCAGUAACUUCUUAGACUUAAGGCUACCGGCCCUAUGGGGCAAUUCUACUCUGUCCUAUAGGGUCACUAUGAGUUGGAAUCAACUCGACAGUAACGGGUUUUUUUGUUUGUUUUUUAGUGGAGUUUGUUGCUAAGCUCCUUGAAGUGCCUAUAAGUUUCCUUAAAAGGGACAGUAGUUGGGAUAGGCAUGAUAAACGUAUGCUCCAUUUGCUCCAAGCUCCAUCUUGUUAUCACACCUGAGGUCUAGGCAUAGACUAAAGGGAAAAGAAUUCUUCAGAACAAAAGUUAGAAAAUCCUAUGUUUUGUAAUGUAUGUAAACAUGGUGUGGGGGGCACAAAUCCCUUGAUUACCUGAUCUUAUAUCACAGUAGGAAGUAUCUUUCUUGGGAGGUGAUAACAGUGGUCAUCAAUGGUUUAGCAGUGACCUGAUUGAUUAUAAUUGUUUUGAUUUAUGUUGACCGUGCCAUUAGUGAUCAUCUGAUGAGACGUAAUCAUAGCAAAAGUGGAUCUGGAAGUCCUAGUGGAGCAUUAGCUAAUAGAUUAUUGUCUUGUUUAUUUUUCAGUAAGCAGGGUACCAGGAAGUGUUAAAUUGGAGAUAAUGAGCAAGAGUCAGGAAGUAAUUCUCCAGCUGUAUUUAAUAUUUGAAUUAUGAUGCCUUUGAAUUGUGGUGUUGGUGAAGAGUGUUGAAUACACCAUGGACUGCCAGAAUGAACAAAUCUGUCUUGGAAAAAGUACAGCCAGAAUGCUCCAUAGAAACGAGGAUGGCAAGACUUCUUAUGUACUUUGGAGAUGUUAUCAGAAGGGACCAAUUCCUGGAGAAGGACAUCAUGCUUGGUAAGGUAGAGGGUCAGCAAAAAAAAGGAAGGCCCUCAAAGAGAUGGAUUGACACAGUGGCUACAAAAAUGGGCUCAAAAAUAGCAACAAUUGUGAAGAUGGCACAGGAGGGGCCAGUGUUUUGUUUUGUUGCACAUAGGGUUGCUAAGAGUCGGACCUGAUUUGACAGCACCUAACAACAACAACAUUUAAUAUUUGAUACCACCCUGAUAGAAUUAGCGAAAAAAAAAAAAAAAGGGAGAAACAGAGAGCACAGAAAAGAUCAUUAGCAAUGUUUAAAUGGAUGGACAAUAAGCCCUUUAAGGAAACGAUUUGAGGUUGUUUAAUGUGGGGAAGAGAAAGCUUAGGGGCCACUUAACCGUCAUCAUGUAUGUCAUGAGAAGAGGACAGUGGCUCUUCAUUUCCAGAAAGGACAAGACAAAUGCCUUGGGACUUAGAACAAAUUAACAAACAGUUCUUUGAACACCAAGAAUUUUUGAUUAUUGAGGUUGAUAAUGGAAGCCACCUAUAGCCUAGCAUUUCUCCUGUUUAGAGUUAGGGACAUGGGUUUUGUAAAGCUUUGAAUUAUAGCUGGGUGACCUAAAAAAGUUAGUACCUAACCCACCACUAGGGAGUAGGGAGGCAUGGGGAAAAUUAGUUCCAUGAAUUCGUAUUCUGAUCAUUAACUAAAAUUACCUUUCUAGGCUUCAUAUUGAAGCAAAGUUCAAAACCCUAAUGGGGACUUCCAUUGUUUUGGUAGCUCAGACACCAGCUGGAAAGUGAAGGCAGUGGCAAGAGAUAUUUUCCACCAGAGAAAUGCCAAAUAUAUGAAAAAGAACAAUGAGAAGGACAGUAAAGCCAGAAAGACACAAGGUGAAAACGGUCUGCAGAAAACUCCAUCUGAAUUCUACUCCAGUCCUUUCACCUCUUUGGUCUCUGCCAGGUCUAACACCAUCCCUGGUGCAUGGGUAUCAUAAUUGCUCAUAGGAACUGAGUAUUAUUCUCAGCUUGAUUUUGGUUGAAUGACCUCAUUAAUAUUCGUGGUUGUCUACUCCCCUCUCCCCAACUUAGUGUGAGAAGAAAGGUCUUAGAAGACAAAGUCAAUUUUAUAUUUCUCAAGGAAAAAUUAGAGCCUGCUUGGGAAAAGAAGUGAUCAGGAUUUCUUCUAAAUAACUUAAAAAAGAUCUCCUAUAGAAUAAUUUUGCUCUGUGCUAGAUUUAAACAAGUAGCAAGAAGUGCAUUGUAUUUAGUGUGUGAUUUGAACAUUUUGUGGACCAGAGAUAUAAAGGAGGGUGGGAUGUUUUCCCUCUAUAGACAUCAACCUUUCGUCUAUAAUUGAAAAAUUGUUGUUGUUGUUGUUGUUAGGUGCUGUCAAGUUGGUUCCGACCCAUAGCGACCUUAUGUACAACAGAAGACAACACUGCUGCCUCUUGUGCCAUCCUCACAAUUGUUGUUAUGCUUGAGCCCAUUGUUGCAACCACUGUGUCAAUCCAUCUUGUUGAGGGUCUCCCUGUUUUUCUUUGACCCUCUACUUUACCAAGCAUGAUAUCUUUCUGCAGGGACUGAUUCCUCCAGACAACAUGUCUAAAGUAUGUAAGACACAGUCUUGGCAUCUUUGCUUCUAAGGAGCAUUCUGGUUGCAGUCCUUCCCAGUCAGAUUUGUUCAUUCUUUUGGCAGUCCAUGGUAUAUUCAAUAUUUGUUGCCAACACCACAAUUCAAAGGUGUCAAUUCUUCUUCAGUCUUCCUUAUUCAUUGUCCAGCUUUUGCAUGCAUAUGAGGGGAUUGAAAAUAUCAUGGGCUGGGUCAGACACACCCAAGGAUUAGUUUUGAAGGUGACAUCUUUGCUUUUCAAUACUUUAAAGGUCUUUUGCAGCAGAUUUGCCCAAUGCAAUGUGUCUUUUGAUUUCUUGAUUGCUGCUUCCAUGGGUUUUGAUUGUGGAUUUGAGUGAAAUGAAAUCCUUGACAACUUCAAUCUUUUCUCCGUUUAUCAUGAUGUUGCUUAUUGGUCCUGUUGUGAGGAUUUUUGUUUUCUUUAUGUUGAGGUGUAAUCCAUACUGAAGGCUGUGGUCUUUGAUCUUCAUCAGUAAGUGCUUCAAGUCCUCUUCACUCUCAGCAAGCAAGGUUGUGUCAUCUGCAUAACACAGGCUGUUAAUGAGUCUUCCUCCAAUCCUAAUGCUCUGUUCUUCAUAGGUUUUCAGAUUAUUUGCUCAGUAUACAGAUUGAAUAGGUAUGGUGAAAGGAUACAACCCUGAUGCACACCUUUCCUGACUUUAAACCACACGGUAUCCCCUUGUUCUGUUUGAAUAACUGCCUCUUGAUCUAUGCAGAGGUUCCUCAUGAAUGCAGAAAUUAUUGAACAAUAUCAUAAUAUCACACACAAGUAAAAUUUUGCUGAAGAUCAUUCAAAAGAGGCUGCAGCAAUAUAUUGAAGGAACUGCCAGAAAUUCAAGCUGGAUUCAGAAGAGGAUGUGGAACCAGGGAUAUCGCUGAUGUCAGAUGGAUCCUGGCUGAAAGCAGAAUAUACCAGAAAGAAGUUUACCUAUGUUUUAUCGACUAUGAAAGGCAUUUGACUGUGUGGAUCAUAAGAAAUUAUGGCUAACAUUGCGAAGAAUUGGAAUUCUGGAACACUUAAUUGUGCUCAUGAGGACCUGUACAUAGAUCAAUUGAAAAAUAGAUCAAUACGUUUUGACCACAUGUUGUUUCUUUGUAUAAUGACGUACCAUGUAUUUGUUUGCUUUAUACUACUGAUCAAUUAAUGAAACAUUUAUUGAAUGCUUCUGUGUUGCUAAUACAGUGCUAGGUUUUGCAGGACAUAAGAGAGGGAAGCAAAGGGGAACUAGAACAAACUUUUGGGGAUACUUUCUAUGUGCUUGGAGUCCUGGUGGUGCAGUGGUUAAAGCACUUGGCUGCUAACUGAGAGGUCUGAAGUUCGAACCUACCAGCCUCUCCGUGGAAGAAAGUUGUGGCAGUCUACUUCUGUAAAGAUUUACAGCCUCAGAAACCCUAUGGGGUAGUUUUAAUAUGACCUAUAGGGCUGCUAUGUCUUGAAAUCAACUUGACAACAGGAGUUUGGUUUUUUAUGUGCUAGUUGCCAAGUCUAGUCUUUUUGUAGAUGUUAGUUUGUGAAAGUCACAUAACUCAUUUCAGGUUACGAUAACUAUUCCUAUUUUAUAGAAAUGGAAACUGAGGCUCUGGGAGAUUGAGUUGGCAAAGGUAGUAGCGACAGCUGGGAGGGUCUGAGUUUUCCAGUCAACACUGUCUGGCUCCAAAACUCUUUCCACUGUUCAAGACAUCUUUUCUAUUCUUGAGGAGAAGAGACAGGUGGUUAACAUAUAAUUCAAGACAAGACCAUUUAUAAUUACCAACUUGGUGGGGAAUGUGAGUGCCUGAUGUGUACAGCAAGAGGAACUAACGGUUGAAGUAGUGGGGGAAGUCUUCAUGGAAACUUGAGUAGUGUUGGGUUGGCCAUAGAAGAAAUGGCAGGCCAGCUGCAGACAACAGUCUGAGCCAAAGCUCAGAAGUGUGAGUGGGCUCCACAGAUUUGGAGCCAGAGGAGAGAUGAGCCUGAAUGUGUUGUGGGGAAGACCCUGAGCAAAUAGCAUCCACAUUGUGUUGGGGCUUGAUACACAACAAAGGAAACAAGAAUGAUAGAAAGUAGGGGGUAUCACGAAUUCUUGAGCAGAAUGAAUGUGAUGUUUAGGAUGGUUAUGAGAAGGCAGCUGAACUGGGCGUGUCAAGAAGUUGGGGUUCAUUUACUCUUUCCCACCAGGUUGGCUCUGAUCCCACUGUGGUUGUAGGAUCCCAGCCCUUACAACAGAACCCCAGGAUACCCUGUCUUCUGUGUGACAUUUGUCCCACUGGUGAAAUAUUCAUCUUCUUGAGUAUCAAACCUGGAGGGUAACAUAAUUUCAUGGACCUUUUACAUCCAGUGUUAUUCAGAAACCAGAGAAGCUGCUACUACACUACCUGCUGGUUUGUGGUGCAUUUGGAGGGUUAUACGAUAUUCUGAGUGGCUGGUUGGCUCCAGAGAGUGUCGUACCUGAGAGGGCAAUUUAAAUUUGAGAUCAAAAUUAAUGAUUGUUCUCCUAGUCAAGUUGGAGAAAGGGCCACUGAAUGUGAAGUGAGGAAAAGCGAAGGAAACCAGAUUCAGAUUCUGCCCAGUGCCUUUGUUUGAGAGUAGAAGCUCUUUGCUGUACAUUGUCUGGGUACCCUUAGAUGAUUUGCAUCUGGAGGAAUGAAGGUAUCCUGAAGUUGCAUCCCCUGAGCCCUCGCUUUCAUUUCUACCACCUUUCUCUUCCCAUUUCAUUUCAUUGUUGGGCUUCCUCACUGGCCCCUAAGGCCAUGUAUAAGGAAUAUAGAUUAUGAUUCCAAAGAAUAGGGCCAUCUUCUCCACAGUGGGCAAGGUUGGCUGGUGCUUCCUGACACUGUAAAUAAUAACAACCACACUUUCAAUGGAAUCUUCCUAGCAGCCUUGUCAGAAGUUGUUGUCCCAUUUAAUAGAUGAGUAGACCAAACCUCAGAAGGGUUAAAUGACUUGGCCAAGGCUACGCAGAAGUGGUAGGGCCGAGACUAGGCUCUAGGUCUUCUUUUUGAUGUUUGCCUUAGUCCAUUUGCCCUUGUGUGUUACUUGCCUAGAAUGUUCACGGAGAAUUGUCUUGGCUUCACACAUGGCUAAGAGUGGCAGAGUACUGGACUGAAGAAGGUUAUCUGAUAGCAUAGAAUUGAAACUCACAAUAGAAGAAUAUCCACUUUCCCUCUGAGAAAAGGGGAAAAAAAAUUGGAUGUGGGCCUCUGGAUCCACAUCUCUUCCCCACCCCCCCCUUCACCUAUUUCCUCUCUCCCUCCCCUAUCACUUAUGCACCACCUGGGCCUAGUACACCACUGUCUCACUGAACCCUUGCAAAAUCCCCCUUUCUUUUAACUGCUUCAGAUUGUAAUCUGUAUGGAGGCCUGGUACCGCCGGUGUCCUAGGGCCCUGUGUUAGCUGUACAUUCAGUGCAAUGGGCUAUGUUCUGUGUGUUCCAUACACACACCUAUAUCACCUAGGUAUGGCUUGAAAUUCCCCAUGUGCUCCGCAGAAAACAUCCCAGGCUUACCUCUGAUGGCCAUAUAAUGUACAUCGCAGGCACCUGUCGGAGUGAUUUUGCCUUGCAGAGGUUGAGAAGGUUGAUUUCAAAAGAAGCCCUUGCCUGUGAUGGGUGAAGAGAGAGAGACAGCUCUUCCCAGACAGCCACUUGCCCUCCUGCUCCCUGUUCAUUCAUUCCAGGAAACCCUCCGCAGCUCACCCUGCCCCUACUCCCCCUGCUCCUCUGGUCUCUCCACUGUGCUAAUCACAGCUCUUUUCUGCUGCAUGCCUCAUUUGGGGGAACAGUGCUCCAGGGCUCCCAAAGUGUGGGGAAGGAAAUUAAGGACGGUUGGCCAAAUGAGUCAGCACAGCAACCCUGAGACAGAUACCGCCUUCCUCUCUGCUCGUGGAAGGCCCUAGCUCCAGGGCUCACCAGGGAAGCCUUUCCCCCCGGGCUUUUUGUCUGGGCCAGGUGGUGCUGGCUCCCUAUUGUAAGAGAAAGAGGGGAACUUGGCGCACCGAGCGCCAACUAUACGUUAUCUUAGGCUCUCUGCUCUCAUUGUCUUCUUUAACAACCCUGUGAGGAGGGCCCCAUUUUGCCGCUGAGAAAGGUUAAGUUGCUUGCCCAAGACCAGCCAAAUGCACAUGUCUAUUUGACUUCGAGGGGUUUGAACCCAUCCAGAGGUACCUCAGAAGAAAGGCCUGGUGAUCUGCUUCUGAAAGCUCACAGCCUUGAAAAUCCUAGGGAGCACGGUUCUCCUUGGUAACACACGGGGUCAUCAUGAGUCAGAACUGAUUUGAUGGCAACUGGUUUUGGCUCAUUUGACUUCAAAGCCUGUGUUCUUUCCUUUUUAGCCUUUAUGCAAGAAGUGGUGACCCCCCCUUUCAUCUCCCUCUCCCCUUUAAGCCAAGGGCUCUGGGCUUCUUUUCAGUUUUGUUUCCCUUCGGCCAAUUUCUUCUGGCAAACUUUAAUUUUUCUGUAGUAACAAGAGUCUUUCUGGCCUCUGGAAGGAUCCAUCCUGCUGCUCACUGGCUGUCAUCAUGUGGGAUAAGACUGGUUUGCUGAUGAAUCUGGGCUUCCCAGCCAGGGCAAGCUAAAUAGUUGAAAAGAGAGCUGCUUUGUGCUGGGCAGCUCUGUCUGGCCAUUCAGGUAGCUGGGAGCCUGUCAAAAGGAGCCCUGGUGGCACAGAGGUUAAAUGCUUGGCUUCUAACCAAAAGGCUGGCAGUUCGAACCCACCAGCUGCUUCGAGGGAGAAAGAUGUGGUAGUCUGCUCCCCUAAGGAUUACAUAAAAAAAGAGCCUUGGAAACCCUAUGGGGCAGUUCUACUCUGUCCUGUAGGGUCACUAUGAGUAGGAAUUGACUCGAUGGCAAUGGGUAAUGGGUGAGUCUGUCAGGUUGAAGCAAAGAGCUCCCUCCUCCCACUCCAGGCAGGGUUCUUUUUCUGGGAUUUUUUUUGCCUCUGGUUACCUCGUUUUAAAGCCACAGGUCUCUGCCGGUUGACCUGUUUCAGAAGAAAUACAGUCUGCAUCUUUGCAGAUAAUGAAUCCAAUCCGGUAGUAGCCAAGAUGAUCUUGAAAGUUCUAGGACGCUAUUUUGAAGAAAAUGUGACUUAAAAAACAAACAGACAACAAAAAACUUUGUUUCCAAGCCCCUGUCUUCAUGCUUUAGCCUGACUGACCUCCAAGUCCCCCAUUCUGAGGCUUAUGUUUUCCCCAAAGGCAUCCCUGGAGCGUGGACAGGACAGGAUGGUCAUGUAGAGAAUGACAGGACUUCAAUGCAGGUCACCCGACCUGCCUGCAGUUCACCCUGAACAUGACUGAGGCUGUCAAGACCUACAAGUGGCAAUGCAUAGAGUGCAAAUCCUGCAUCCUCUGUGGGACCUCGGAGA